CUGACAAUUUUUUUUUUCUUUUUAUUGAGUUUAUUGGUACAUUCUAGGUAUACAAUUCAGUUACAUUCAUUACUGGGAUCUUGUACCUUUACAUGCCAGGUCCUGGUUCUCAUUUUUUCCCCUUGUCCCUGCCCUCCCUUCACCCCCUCCUCCCCACCCCUGACAGACAAAUUUAAAAGCAACGGAAAAGGGAUAGAGAAGAAAGCCAACCUUAAGCAGAAGAAACACAAUCAGCAAAAUCCGCAAAAGCAACAAAUACAACGAAUACAGCAAAUUACCAGAAUAGCAGGAGCUGCUGAUGAAGAGACAGACAGAGGGAGCAAGUGAGCCAGCAUCUCUCUGGGAGGUAGAGACCCCAGGACCUGAGGACCAGCUCUCUAAGUUGUGAAUGUGUUCAUUAUGCUGCCUCACCUGCAACCUGGACUCAAAUCACAUCCAUGGCCAGGACCUGCACAUUGAAUCAAUGUCAUUUCUGGAGUAGAAAAUAAAAAGUGUUUUUUGUUGGUGUUGACAUUUCUUUAGCACAAGGCCCAUCAAGUUUUAGCAUUUUUGAUGAUAAAGAAAUGUGCCUGCAAUUUGAAAACCUGGUGCUGAUUAAGUAAUUAUUUAAAACGUUUUUUCUUUCAAAAAUUCAAACCUAGAAGAUGAAAGAAUAAGAACACUCUUUUUACAUUCACCGAUUAUUAACAUUAUUUUGUGUCUCUAUGUAUAGUUUUAUAUAUGUUGGCUGGAGUUCUUUGCUUUUAAGAACUACUUUAAACUAAGCUGCAGACUCCAUAACAUUUUACUGCUAAACAGGGGCCGGUCCUAAGUUCGAUCCCCGGUACUAGAAAGGGGGAAAACACACAAACACACACAAGAAAAAGCAAAACAAAGCAAAAAUGUUUUAUCAAAUACAUAUAAAUUGUAUGUAAGUGGUACUCUUAUAGUUGGUAUAUACAGAUUUGGUCAGAAAAACAAAAGAUUGUAAUGAAGAGCAUGUUCUAUUUCUGGAAAAGCAUGGUCUCUCUCUCUCUCUCUCUCUCUCUCUUUUCCAUCUAUACUAGUCCUUUCCAUGAGAAAAUCUUUUCAACAUUUCCUCACCUGGAGCUACAGUGGGGAAUCCAUUUCAUCUCCAGAGUAGGCUAGUGAUACAGUUCACAGUUGCCAUGGUAGAAGAGAGUUUCUUCUCUUGUCUACUACUAUUUCUAUAAACACUUCCCUUUUUCCCAUACAGGAUUUCUAAAUACUGUAACAGCACUAAAUAGUACCAAAUACAUCAUACUAAAUGACCAUUUCCAAAGGCCAGACAGAAGUCUUGUGUCAGUUUAGAGAGGAAUUUUUUUUUAGUUUUUAUUAGUAUUUGUUUGCAGUACAUAAUGUUUGUAUUUCUCCUGUUAUCUUAAUUUUUUCAUCCCUUUUUUCUCCCACACCUCCUUCCUGCCAUCUUUUGAUCCCCUUCCCACUUGAGAAAGAUCUAUCUCCCUACUUCCUAUUAUCUGUCUUUUAUUUUACUCUUUAUUUAUAUUUAGGGUUUUUCAGACAGGAGAAACCAUAUGAUAUUUAAGCUUGUGCAUCUGAUUUACUUCACCUAACAUUGUGGUUUGAAGGUACAUCCAUUACGUUGUACACAUAUUUCCUCUGGAUGCAACACUCUGACGUAUAUAACUUUCUUUAAUGGAUUUUUGUUAAUAUGAUGCUAAAUUUCUAACUCACAAUGCAGAAUCUCAGCUAUUGUCUAUCCAAAACCUGGCUGUCUUUUAUUUAUCCUGAAAUGUCUAUGCUAAUGAACACAAAGCUUCAGAAAUGAACACAACCAGCUAAAUCCUUACUACCUAUAGCAGUUUAGAUAGCUUGUAAUCAACUGUAUGGCAUUUUCACAGCAAGAAAUACUAAUUUGAAGGUAAGGUAUGUUUCUAUCUAGAGUAAGUGUUAACUUAUGUGUCAGACAUGGUGCUCAGAAUCUUUAUGGGCAUAUUUCCUCAUUUUAUUUUUGCUACAACAAUGUACAGUAGGUGCUAAGGUAGACACUGUAGGGGGAGGACAAGAAGCUCUGAGAAUCUGGAAAUGAGUAUUUACAGUACCACAUGGUACUGUAGCAGUGCUCUAUACAUUCAUCCAUUUAACUAUCUCCACAAUCUAUGAUCAUCAGUACUCCCUUUUACAAUGGUGAAACCUGGGAGGUACAUAACUGGAGCAAAGCUGCUGAACUGGGAAAUGAACCUGCACUGUCUUAUGCCAACCACAACAUAGACAGUUCCUUCCCCUGGCCACGACAUCCUACAAAUUCUAGAUAGGAUGCUGGAGGUAGAGGCCACCUCCAGAAAGGGAACAGUGGGGAAUAUCCCUCCCAACCCCUGCAGGAGUAAGGCUGGAGUAACCUAGUGCUUUGAUGAUAGAAAGCGAGUUCCUUUUUAAAUUGAGAGGGUGUGAAAGGGAGAUUAUGCGAUUCCUGUUAAUCUAGAUUUUUUUUUUUUUUUUUUUUUUUUUUUUUGGUACCAGGGAUCGAACUUAGGACCUUGCACUUGUGAGGCAGGCAUGGUGCCACUAAGCUAAAUCUCUGGCAACCUAGAUCUUGAAUCAAUGAAAGUAAAUCCUAAAUCUGGCCCCAAGUCCCACCCUUCUAAAAGAUCCUAUCAAUGACCAGUCACAAAGAACCUCCAGAAGACCUGCGGUGCUCAGAGGAAGGCUCUUCUUAGAGGCCUCCCUCUCCCCUAGAUGUCCCCUCUGUGUGACUAACUUGGAGUCCACAUCUGCACGUGUGCUACUCACAAGAGCCCACAGUGGAAACAGUGCAAAUAUUCGAUAACUGGUAAAUGAGCAAACACAUCAUGGAGGAUCUGUGGUAUACAAUGGAGUACGAUCCAGUCAUAAAAGGACUGAAGUAUCGACGCAUACGAUGAUGUGGUGGAUGAAUCUUAAAAACCUGAUGCUGAAAGAAAGAAGCCAGACAUAAAAAGUCACAUACUGCAAGCCUGCACUUAUAUCCAGAAAAGGUUGAAUCAUUGUAGAAGAAAGCAGAACAGCAGUUUCCAGGGGAUGGGGGAUAAGGAGAGUGGGGAGAGAGUCACUGCCCAGUGAGUAUAGGGUUUCCUCUGGAUGAUCAAAAUAUUUUGGAUCUAGACAGAGGUGAUGACUGCAGAACACUGAAUGUACUACACAGUGUACAGUUAUGUCAUGUGUAUUUAAUGAAAAGCAUGUACAAAUGUGAGUGGCCAUCUCUGGGACUUUUUCAAUCAAGACACAGUAUACAUUGUGUCAAGCCACACAGAGGC
rnacentral:lncRNA from 1 species